CAGCCGCCGCGGUAAUACGUAGGUGGCAAGCGUUGUCCGGAAUUAUUGGGCGUAAAGGGCUCGCAGGCGGUUUCUUAAGUCUGAUGUGAAAGCCCCCGGCUCAACCGGGGAGGGUCAUUGGAAACUGGGAAACUUGAGUGCAGAAGAGGAGAGUGGAAUUCCACGUGUAGCGGUGAAAUGCGUAGAGAUGUGGAGGAACACCAGUGGCGAAGGCGACUCUCUGGCCUGUAACUGACGCUGAGGAGCGAAAGCGUGGGGAGCGAACAGGAUUAGAUACCCCUGUAGUCCCUGUCUCUUAUAC
rnacentral:rRNA from 1 species